UAUGGUCAUAUCAUGCUGAAAUACCAGUUCUCAUGAUUACUGAAGUUAAGCAACAGUGAGCCUGGUCAGUACCUAGAUGGGUGACCACUUAGAAAUAACAGGUGCUGGA